rnacentral:hammerhead_ribozyme from 11 species
AUGCGAAACCACCCGGCUUGCCGGGUUGGUCUGCCGGACGUGGUGGUCCGGUACUGAUGAGCAGCCGAGG